GGGGGUAUAGCUCAGUGGUAGAGUGUUUGAUUGUAGAUCAAGUGGUCUUUUGUUCAAACCCAGGUGCCCUCU